rfam:Pontibacillus halophilus JSM 076056 = DSM 19796 strain JSM 076056 contig4, whole genome shotgun sequence.
CGUACCUUUAAGGUAGUCCCGUGAGGCUAGUAAGGUCGUUAUAGAUGUGAAUCGUAGUCCGAGGACUACGUCUACCUCUUUGCGACCAGAACGCAAAGAGGUUUUUUUAU